CUACACUUAAAAAUUAAAGAAAAAUAGCAAUACCCCAUCGGCGACAUCUACAGCCAGCAGCUACAAUUAUCACGGAAAACACUUACACCUCAGAGAGAAAUUCUGAAAAAGAAAAUUACUAAGCAUGCUAAUUUUCGAACAGGAAAGUUCUUUCAAGUAUAAUAUCAUUCUAGAGUGUAAUGCCAUAAAAAACAGUAAUAUUAGAUAGACCGCCGAAAUAUGAAGUUUUUAAGUAUGCUUAAAUAAAAAUAAUCCCACCGUGUUAGAGUCCUGCCCACACAGAGAAUGCAACUUAAUUCGAAAGGUAAUUGCCCAUUACAAUUUAACGCACUGGAUGUCGCUUUAAUUUAAACGCGACGCA